rnacentral:rRNA from 1 species
UACGAACCGAGCGAACGUUAUUCGGAAUCACUGGGCGUAAAGGGUGCGUAGGCGGGUCUUUAAGUCAGGGGUGAAAUCCUGGAGCUCAACUCCAGAACUGCCUUUGAUACUGAGGAUCUUGAGUUCGGGAGAGGUGAGUGGAACUGCGAGUGUAGAGGUGAAAUUCGUAGAUAUUCGCAAGAACACCAGUGGCGAAGGCGGCUCACUGGCCCGAUACUGACGCUGAGGCACGAAAGCGUGGGGAGCAAACAGG